rnacentral:lncRNA from 1 species
GGAGCAUCAGCUCCACCCCAUCCUUUCCUUCUCAUGCUUCCUGACCUCCGUGUGCGCAGCGUCCAGGCAGGCCGUGAACCCCCAGUGACCCUAAGAUCCGACUACUCUUGGGUUGUGUGUUGCAGCUGGUCCCUGAAGCUGUCACCCAAGGCUGUCCGUGGGCGGGGACAGUAGCUACAGCUCAGUUGGUAGAGAAGCUGCCGGAGUGUACUCACAACAGAAGCUGCUGGUUUUUGGAUCACAGGGACGAGUCGUUCAGGAGAGCUAUGCACACGCUGAAAUGGCUCCCCUGAGUCUGGCUGUGGGGAGGGCAUACGAGAGCUGGGUGGCUGCUGGUUUGGAGGGAGGUCAUCUUGCUGUCCUGUUUCUUUUGGAUCCCGGUGACUACGCCAAGUAGCCAGGCCCAGGCCAGCCUGACGGGUGUGAAAGCCACCUGGAGGAAGACCCCAGUUCUCCCCGCUGGCCAGGGAGCCUCACUGACCACCCAAGUGGGAUGGACGUGUGGCCAGUGAGUCAGAAAGCUUCCUUUCUCUGCUCCACCCUGGUGAAGACUCGCUCGACGCCUGAACUAGAGAUUUGUUUACCGGGGAGCACACAGUUUUUUGAGCCCAAGAAACCGACAGGCAGAGAUGACCAGAGCCAGCGCGUGGGUGUGGAGGUCUGUGGCUGCCUGGCUGGUGAGCACGGGUGGGCGGCUCACUCCGUCCUGCUCUGGCACCUCCCAGUCCCUCUCCUGAGAGCUGCUUUUCUGCUCUCCAUCAGCUGGGAAAACUCCACAUGACCUUUCUGGGUGAGCAUUGUUUUCUCCAUGUGAAGGUGAGCACCGAAAUGCAGAGCGUUCAGGGGACUUUCUGAGAUCUCACGGUUGCCGGAGAGGCCAGGAGCUUCAGGAUCCAGGUGUGCAGAAAGCACAGUCCUCGCUUGAAGGAGGGAAGAUGAGGAGGUGGCUCCAGAGAUUCCGGGGAGGAAGAUUUAAGCUCACUAGGACUCGGGUGGCCAAGAGGAACCCUCAGUCUGAAGGCGCUAGUGGACACUCAAGACCGGGUACACUUUUCUUGGACAAAGUUAAAUUUUAUUGGCUACCUAGGUCUCUAACUGCUUACCUGUGUUCAGGUCAAUUGAAUGUAUUUUGUAGAGUUCUCCUAAAUAUAAAAUAAUUUACUCGCAAAAGAAAAGGAUUUGAACUUGAAGUAUGAUUUGGACCUUCCUAGUGUUUGUAGGAGAAAUUUCAUGCAAAGAAACAGAUAAUGACCCAAGUUCAGAAAGCCACCUACCCUGCAUUCCAUAGUCCAUACAGCCAUGAUGUACAAAUUUUAAAAUAGUAUAAAGCAUUCAUUGUCCAGGGAAGUCAGUAAUCUGUGAUCUUUUUAAUAAAGUCUGACCACAUUAUUUUAAGCAUUGUUUAUUAUUGUACAUUAUUUC